GUCUACGGCCACGCCACCCUGAACAUGCCCGAUGUCUCAUCUCGGAAGCUAAGCAGGGUCGGGCCUGGUUAGUACUUGGACGGGAGACCACUUAGGAAGACCAGGUGCUGUAGUCA
rfam:Pteropus alecto contig107833, whole genome shotgun sequence.